UUCCUUGUCCCUCGCCCCCAUUUUUCCUAUCUUCAUUUCACCUCUUAGCCCCAAAAGUGUUUCAGUUUCCUCCUACACUCUUAGCCCCAAAUUUGCAUAACUUUUCAUUUUCUUUUUCAUUUUCCCCAAAAUCUCAACCAACCUUCAAUCUUCAUCUCAGUUUUAUUUCCCCCAAUUUGCAUUCCAUCCUCCAUCUCAAGUUUCUCCCCAUUCGCGAACACCCUCCAUCUCAGAAUCCUUCAAAUCACGCCUUCAUUCAUCGUGAUACGAAAAACCCCAAAUCCCUAAAAUCACUUGAAGCCUUAAGUGAUAAAAAACUUGAACUUCAACUCAAAUUCCUACGUUUUGCUUUACAUCGCCGUUGCGUUUUGUUUAAAGCUUCAUAGAUGAUGAUAAAAUGCAUCCUGGUGGUUCUAUGCAUUUGUGUGUGCUUGUUAGUUGAUUCCUCCUUCUCCUUUUUUGCGUCCCCUGAUUCAUUUUGAGCAUCACCUUCAUUGUCACUAGUAUUGCUUUGAACAGUGUUCUCAUUCUGAUUCUCACUCAUUUUGAGUAGUGUUUCUGUAACAACCCAACCCUUAUCGUUAUCCGCACUAUUAAUCACGACCAUCUCGCCCGCUUUCCUCUCCAUAGAAAAUAACGAGUUUUUGUAACAGUUCAACCCUUACCGUAACCGGCACUAUUAGUCACAACUUUCUCGCCCCUUCCUCCACUAAAAGAAAACAUUUGAAUAACUACGGCAAAUUACCCACGGAUCCCAGUCCGUGAGUAAAUUAUUUAUUAUCUACAGAAAAACUAUGUGUAUAUUAUUUAUAAAAUAAAUUGAUUUUGUUAAAUCCACGGUUAUUGCGUGGGUAAAAUUAGAAAAAUUUGUGGGUAUAAAAUACAACCCACGUUAAAGUGGUUCAAAAUUUCUUCGUGUCGUGCUUACCACAACUUCUCCAUAGGUAACUAAAGAGAAUAAUUUUAAUUUUUCUACAAAUUAUUUGUGAAUAAUAUGCAGGCAAAGUUUUGUUUAUUAAUUUCUUUUUUUGUUUUAAGGUUUUUGUAUUGAAUUAAAAAAAAUAUUUAUGUGAAAUAACUCAUCAUUCUCACAUAACUAAAAAACUCACUCAUUCUCACUUGUCUCUAUAGAACCCUAAACCCUUAUUCUUCUUCCAACCUCCUCUAGAUUGCAACCUUCUCCAACCCGAAUUUCCGCCACUUUGUCGCCUCGACGUUUUCUCUUUCUCGUUCGCAGGUUCUAUCUCGUUUUGUCUCGUUCUAUCUUGUUCUCUCGUUCAUUUUUUGUUAUCUCUCUCAUUUGCUCUCUCUAAUUUAUUCUAUUUUCAUGAUUAUUUGUUGAGUAAAGGAAAAAAGAAAUGGUUUAUUAAUCGAUUUGAAAACCCUAACUCGUUCUCUCAUUUUGUUUUGGCACAACUCACUGAAAUUCUUAACAUCUCAAAUUCAUUAUUUCACAGGUACGAAUUUGAAAAUCCCUAACUCUUGUAGUUGAUUUGUGUUACAACAAUGUGCAUUGGUUAUGUUAUUUACAUGUGAUUAUUUUGUGUCUGAAAACUUGGUGUAGUUUGUUUAUGAAGUGAAAUUUGAUUUUGCCACUCUGCAUUUUUCAACGAUGAGCAUUUAGUUUGCCUUCGAUAGCUUCAUGUUUCUCUUCUAUUGUUAAACUUAGCUUGAAUCAAGGAUUGCUUUGUGUGACUGUAGAUCAACAAUUUCUAUUUUACUCUCUGAAUUCGAAUGGAUAGUCCUUUUUACUAUUCAAUGGACUUAAGAGUUUUCGCUACUGAAUCUUGCUAAAAGUGGGGAUGAUAAUUUCCUUGUUCUUGAACAAGUAUGAAAGUGUUCAUUUGCAUCUAGAAAUUAACUAAAUAUUGUGAUUUAACAAGAGCUUAACUAUUUUAAAAACUGGUCAAUUAGAACAUCUUGAUGCUGAAAAAGAGAUAAAAUUUCCUUCAGUGUAAAAUUUUAUUUUUAGAAAGUUUUUUCGCAUAUAUAUUUUUGUAGUGUUUGUUUGGCAUUGCCCUCAAAAUUUGGAUAAGUGUGUUAUUGAAAUGAAUGUACCAAGUUCUUGAAAUGAAUGUGCAUGAUUGUACUUUAGUUUAGUCUAGGCUUUUGCAUUACAUGAUUUUUAUGACUAAAAAUCCUCUUUUGAUGUAAAAUUAAAAUAUUUAUCAGUUCUGGUUUUUGUAUGUUAGUUGAAUUAUAUGAAUGUAGUUUGUUUUGCUUUUGUAAGCACUGAAUUUUUUGAAUCAUCAUUAUUAUUUUCUUUGUUGCUUUUCCACAUUAUUAUCCUUCAAUACAUUGAUAGUUUAUAUGCAACCAGGGGACGUUGGAAUUAGUUUCUUUUGAAGAUAUUGAUUCCAUUUGACAUUAAAAGCCCCAUUCAAAUGACUUCAUACUGCCAUUUAUGAAUAUGAUUGCAUUCUUGGAUUGAGAUACUCAUGAUUUAAUGAGAGAAUACAUAAUAAAUUAUAAUGCUAGAUCUUAAUUGAGUACACUUGUUAGACUUUCAAUCAUUUGAAUAAAAGUUUAUACCUACAAACAACUAAAAAUUGCCUUUAGCGGUCACUAACGAUGAGAUUCCUCAUUUUAAUAUGUCGUUAAGUUUUUGCUUUGUAAUGUUGCAAUAGCUAAGAUAAGGAAUAUGUUAAGGAGAUUUUGCCAUAUUGGAUUGUAUUAAAGAUGUAUUUUUCUUGCAUUUCUAUUUAGUUCAUGUUAAUUAAAUAACAAUUAGUUAGUGUGGUUCUUUCAAGAUCUCAACUAGUGUUGCUAUUUUAGUGAAUAUAAUAAAUUUUAUGUAUUUAAAA